UCUUCCCUGGGGUGAAGGUUCUGAUCAGCGAGCCACUGCAAUGUCUGACAGAAAAAAUAUGCCUUGAACUACACCAGCCUUCCCAGAGCACCAAAUUCAGCAUAGUUAUAGAAUUGCAGAAUCAUACAAUGGUUUGGGCUGGGAGGGACCUUUAGAAAUCAUCAACUCCAAGCACUUUGCAAUGAGCUGGAACACCUUCCACUAGAGCAGGUUGUUCAGAGCCCCAUCCAACUUGAAUGUUUCCAGGAAUGGGGUGUCCAGAACCUUUCUGGCAACCUGUGCCAGGGCCUCACCACCCUUAUUGUGAAAAUCUUCUUCCCUCUCUCUGGCACCUCCAGUUCUCUGUGUGUCGCUGUGUGGAAGUGCUGCAGGGAGCAGUGAGAUUGCAGCCAGGCCAGCAGCCUCCUGGGGUGACAUUGUGAGGACACCACGCUGUGGCACAGAGCACCAAAACUGUCCCCACGGAAUCAGGCAGCAGCUUGGACUCUGUGGAACCCACAAAGAGUCUCUGGGUGCUGGAGACUCCAGAGGCAGUGCCACCUCUGUGCCAUCUCCUAGGGCCUUCCCUCAGCAACUUCAGCAGUUAAACACUGAGUGGCUGAAGAGCUCUUCAUCCUUCCUAGGCAGCAGCAGGAGGCAGAGCUGACGAUUCUCUCCAAUAACACAAAGAGUGGAGAUCUGGCCACAGUGCAAAUCUACAGAGGAAAAUACUCAUUCUGCUGAUGUGUGUGCCCUCAACACCAGUUCAAAGGCUCAGGAUUCCUGCAAAUCUGUGUCUUGUCCCUGAGAAGUACAAUUUGCAUUUGGAUAUCUGAACAAGACCAACGAUGUUUAAAAGCAGCCACCACCAAUGUCCCUGAGGGCUGAGGUGCUGGAGCUUCAGAACCAUCUGUUGUUUUAGUGAAGUGUUGUUAAAUUCAUGUCCACUCCAUUUAUUUUGGAUCUGUCACCAUCACACUCAAGGUGGAAGAGGAUUUUUGGGUCCAAACUGCCCUGUUUGGUCAGUGUGUCCCCUCUUGUGAACUUCUGCCCCCUCAAACACAGCCAGGCCCUCAGCACAGUCAAGCUUCCCACCUCAAUGAACCAAACCACACAAGAGCCAUAAAACCUCUUCCCUGCUCUCCUUACAGACCCUGAUGUGGCAGAAACACAAAGCCUGUGAGAAGGUAGCACUUGACACCCAUCAAAGAGCUGAUAAACAGCAAAUUUGUCCUGCUGGAAAGUCUCCAGACCUCUCCUCAC